rfam:Fukomys damarensis contig147065, whole genome shotgun sequence.
GGUACUCGAAUGAAGGUUGUUCAUGGUGUGUUCAUUUUACUUAUGAUGAGUAUUACAUGGCAAAUCUUCUUUCAGUACU